rnacentral:snoRNA from 1 species
GACCUCCCCGGAUCGCACCUGGGGAGCUCCCCGUGCUCCUCCAGCCUCGGAAGCGGGAGGCAGAGCGACGGCAGGGCCGCGCCCAUUCCCUCGCGGGCCUCGCGGUGCCCGGCGGGCGGAAGAGAGCCUGCGACAGCC